AGUGAUUGCAACAAAUGAUAUACAUUUAGCGGCGACUAUACAGGUCCCUACAGAAAGUAAUUUAUUAGCAGCGACUUUUAUUUGGUCGCCGCUGAUUCGUGCAGCUAAAAGGUGAAAAAUUCAUUCCCGCUAAGAUAAAAUUUUGGCUCCAUAGAUUCCGUGGCGACUUUUAAAUAGUCGCUACUAAAGGCGUAUUGCAGCGACUUGGGUCGCUGCUAACCCUUAUUAUUUUAUUUAAAAGAAAAAAACAUCCCUUUGAAUUAAAACAUCAGCAGCCAUAAAACAUAUGAGUUUUCUUCUCCACAAAAAAUUUCCUCUUCGAUCUCCAUUGUCAUUUUUCAUCCUUAUACAAGCUACCCAUAUUGGUGAAAAAGAUUCAAAAGGUCCUGAAAGUCCCAAAUCUAAGAAUCAAAACUCUAUCUCUCUAUUUAUGUUGCUCCCUUUCUCAGCUAGAUCUAAUUUUUCUCAAAAUCCCCCAAAUCACAAGAUUUAAAUCUUAGUUUCUCAAUUCUUAAUUGAAGGAACAACUUUGCUGCUCCGUUUCUUUUCUUCCAGUUAGUGACCCAAAAUCUCAAGUCAGGACUAUAAAGAAUUUCGCAUAAAAGAGUCAUCCAGAGCGUAUUUGGUAUGGUUAUUGUGGAUUCGAUCUUGACAGAACUCUCAGUUAUUUCUUUUUUUGGGAAAUGAAAGGAAUUGGACGAGGUAAAAGUGUGAGAGGAGGGACGAGCCGUGGACAUGGCAAUUUUCGAGGACGUGGAAGUUCAAGAACGAUGUCUCAACCACAAAUACAACCAACAGAGAUUAACGAGGCAUCUUUGGAGAUAGGACAAUCAAGUAACCCAACUCAAGGACCUAUACAGACCGAACAAACAUCAAGUAGCCCUCUCCAAAGAACAUCUCUAGAGACACAAUCAUCAAGAAAUCUAGAAAAAGUGUACUUCCCUCUCCAUAGGCUUCAAAUGGUGUAGUUUCUCGCAUCAAUAGAAAGAAAUGAAGAGGGAAAUAUAAAUCUAAAACAGUAGAUAUAAAAACUAGGUAUGGAGGAAAAAUCACAAUAAUGAUUCUAGAUGACAUUGAUAGAGCUAUGGGUCCUGGGGCUAGAGAUAUUGUUAGUUACUCUGGUUUGACCAUGAGGAGCAUUAUCUCAUUCCGAGAGGGGAAGUGGCAAAAGAUUGUUUUGAAAUACGGAGAAGCAAUGUGGUUGAGGGUCAAGAACAAAUUUGAAGUUUGUGGCGGACUGCGAGAGCAUAAGUUGCAAGGCUUUGUGAUAAGUAGUAUGCAAAGGCUUUUUAGAGAUGAAGAGAGAUUGUCUCAUCGACCUAAGGAUGUUCAGCUGGAGGACUGGAAAUACCUAGUAAAGUAUUUUGGAAGUGAAGAAUUCAAUGUAACUUAAUAACCAGUUUUUUUGAAGUUAGGAAAUACCAAGUGUGUUUACUCUUUGAAUAAAGAUAUCCUGAACUCUUGGCUUAGUGCAGAUUGUCAGUGAAAGAAACAAAAGAAAUAGAGAAAAGCAAAUAACUAAGCAUGUUUGUGGUACAAAGUCUUUUGCAGAAGUAGAGGAAUAUACGAUAAGAAUACAGUUGUUCUCCUAUUGUCACAUAGACUGUUUAUUACGAUAAGAAAGUUGCAAGAAGAACUUAACCGGAAGUUGCAAGAAGAACAUGAACAAAUGGAUAUCGACUUAAAAAGGGAUAUGGAACAAGAUUUGCAAAACAAAUUGAAAGAGGAGCGUGCACACAUGAAAGGAGAAUUUGACAAGAUGUUCCAAGAACAAAUAGCUGCUUUCAUGACUAGAAUGCAACAGGGACGAGGUUCUUAAACAAUGGAGCAAACCAAAGAAAAGUUUGAAGGCGUGCAAUAGAAGUUUUUGGUCAUAUAUAAUAUGCAUAAAAUGAAAGUUUUUAUGUAAUAUGCAUACAAUGGAAGUGUUUGAUGAUAUGUAAUAUAUAUACGUUGGAAGUUUUUGCUUUUUUGGGUCAUAUGUAUAUGCAUAUAAUGAACCGAAGUACUAUGUCCAUAGUAUAUCUGUUGUUGACUUUUAAGUAAUGAAAGUAUUUAUGAUAUUCGGCUUGGAAGUGCUUUUGGA